rnacentral:sRNA from 1 species
UGACAGUAGUUAAUUGACCACGUGCACU